rnacentral:rRNA from 1 species
CCUACGGGUGGCUGCAGUGAGGAAUAUUGGUCAAUGGGCGCGAGCCUGAACCAGCCAAGUCGCGUGAGGGAGGACGGCCCUACGGGUUGUAAACCUCUUUUGCCGGGGAGCAACGGGCGUCACGUGUGGCGCCACUGAGAGUACCCGGAGAACAAGCAUCGGCGAACUCCGUGCCAGCAGCAGCGGUAAUACGGAGGAUGCGAGCGUUAUCCGGAGUUAUUGGGUGUGAAGGGUGCGUAGGCGGUUCGUUAAGUCAGUGGUAAAAUUGAGGGGCUAAACCCCUUCCCGCCAUGGAUACUGGCUCUCUUGAGUGGAAGAGAAGUAUGCGGAAUGCGUGGUGUAGCGGUGAAAUGCAUAGAUAUCAUGCAGAACCCCGAUUGCGAAGGCAGCAUGCCGGCUUCCGACUGACGCUGAAGCACGAAAGCGUGGGGAUCGAACAGGAUUAGAUACCCCUGUAGUC